rnacentral:rRNA from 1 species
GACGAACGCUGGCGGCGUGCCUAAUACAUGCAAGUCGAACGACACUCUCGUUUAGAUUGAAGGAGCUUGCUCCUGAUUGAUAAACAUUUGAGUGAGUGGCGGACGGGUGAGUAACACGUGGGUAACCUGCCCUAAAGUGGGGGAUAACAUUUGGAAACAGAUGCUAAUACCGCAUAAAACCUAACACCGCAUGGUGUAGGGUUGAAAGAUGGGUUUCGGCUAUCACUUUAGGAUGGACCCGCGGUGCAUUAGUUAGUUGGUGAGGUAAAGGCUCACCAAGACCGUGAUGCAUAGCCGACCUGAGAGGGUAAUCGGCCACACUGGGACUGAGACACGGCCCAGACUCCUACGGGAGGCAGCAGUAGGGAAUCUUCCACAAUGGACGAAAGUCUGAUGGAGCAACGCCGCGUGAGUGAAGAAGGUUUUCGGAUCGUAAAACUCUGUUGUUGGAGAAGAUGUAUCUGAUAGUAACUGAUCAGGUAAUGACGGUAUCCAA